rnacentral:rRNA from 1 species
AGUGAACGCUGGCGGUAUGCCUAACACAUGCAAGUCGAACGGCAGCACAGUAAGAGCUUGCUCUUACGGGUGGCGAGUGGCGGACGGGUGAGGAAUACAUCGGAAUCUACUUUUUCGUGGGGGAUAACGUAGGGAAACUUACGCUAAUACCGCAUACGACCUACGGGUGAAAGCAGGGGAUCUUCGGACCUUGCGCGAUUGAAUGAGCCGAUGUCGGAUUAGCUAGUUGGCGGGGUAAAGGCCCAACAAGGCGACGAUCCUUAGGUGGUCUGAGAGGAUGAUCAGCCAGACUGGAACUGAGAAACGGUCCAGACUCCUACGGGAGGCAGCAGUGGGGAAUAUUGGACAAUGGACGAAAGCCUGAUCCAGCCAUACCGCGUGGGUGAAGAAGGCCUUCGGGUUGUAAAGCCCUUUUGUUGGGAAGGAAAAGCAGCAGGUUAAUACCCCGCUGUUCUGACGGUACCCAAAGAAUAAGCACCGGCUAACUUCGUG